UACGUUUCUUAUCUCAUUUUCGUGCUGUUCAUCGAGGGGCAUCAUUCGCUGGACUGCGCACCACAAGUGUGCGGAAAUUGCCCUGUGCAUACACCUGAUGGAGAACCAUGUGGCUUGUUGAAUCAUAUGACUAACACUUGUACUAUUCAGUGUAGAGUAGAGAUGCAAAAGAUAGUUACUGUUCACUGGGCGAUGAAACUGCUCUUAAGCAUGAGUGGGGCAUAUCCUGGUCUGUACCUUUUCACUAUCCCUUCUAGAUUUGUUCGGCCAGUAAAGAACAUUUCAAUUCCUUCCGUUGGAGGUCAGAAUAUUGAACUUAUUGGACCCCUUGAACAGGUUUUCAUGGAAAUAAGAUGUCCUGAUGGUCGAGAUGGUGGAAGGAAAGAUGGUUUCCCAGCAACUCAUGAAGAAAUUCAUCCAACUGGAAUGCUCAGUGUGGUCGCUAAUCUUACACCCUGAAACAAUAGACUCGUCUGAUCAAAAGAAGAGGUCGGAUAACACCCCAACAUUUUUUAAGAAAAGUAACGUCGAUAAAAAUCCUUUGAUUGAUUCAGAUGGUCUUCCUUAUGUUGGUCAGACAAUAAAACCAUAUGAAGAAUACUAUAGCUUUACCAAUGCCACACUCCAUAAGCCCAGAGCCAUCAAACGGAAAGGUACAGAACCCGUUAUAGUUGACUAUGUUGCUAUUGAUGGGAAGAAGCUCCUUCAAAAGGCAAACAUACGCUUUCGACACACUAGAAACCCUAUCAUUGGUGAUAAAUUUCCUUCUAGAAUGACGAUAGCUAUGCUGUUGGAAUCGGUUGCUGCAAAGUUAAACCCCUUAACCUUGAACAUUUCUUGUCACAUGGUGGUAGCUUACAUGGACAUUAUGUUGACGCAACACCAUUUGCUAGUUCAAAGAACGCUAAUGGAGAGACUGGACCAAAAUCCAAAACCCUUGUUGAUGAACUUGGCGAAUUGUUGAAGGUUAAGAGGUUUAACUACCAUGGUGUAGAGGUUCUGUACAGCGGGGAUUAUGGCACAGAACUCACUUUAUUGGCCCUGUUUAUUAUCAACAACUACGACAUAUGGUUUCAGACAAAUUUCAGGUACGCUCCACUGGAACGGUAGACCAGAUCACUCGCCAGCCUAUCACGGGACGAAAGUGAGGUGGUGGUAUACGUUUUGGCGAAAUGGAGAGGGACUCCAUGCUUGCGCACGGGGCAGCAUAUCUGUUGCAUGACAGGCUUCAUAUGUGGAAGCAUCCUAACGUCCUCAUUCGUCCAACCAAAACGGGUUGUGCGUGCGGUUUCAGGAAUUCCCCCUGUAAGAGCUCCCAAGAAGGUCAGCUGCCAUGCUUGUAACACAAGUAAAGGGAUGGAGACAGUUGCAAUGCCUUAUGUCUUCAGAUAUUUAGCUGCUGAGUUGGCAUCAAUGAACAUAAAAAUGACUCUUCAGACAAGUAAUGCAGCGAAAGCUUGAUAUCAUGUUCUUAGGAGCGAACAACCAAUGUAAGAUGGUACGAUGAAAUUGAUACAGCGGGCGGCGGCAGGACUCUACGCACAAGGAGCAUCGGGUGUGGGAAUCGUGUCGCAAAAAUGACCGUCGAUGCUGGGGAUUGGUGAGAGGCUCCUGACUUGUAUUUAUAUGUUGGCCAAGAGGGUUUAAGUUCUCUUCAGUUUUCUUAAAAACACUGAGAUAACUUUUAAAGCUCUCAGCAUUCUUUUUUCUCCUUUGUUGGUAUGCAUCCAGGUGGAAUUACAUUUCUUUUUAUAACUUUGA